CAUAACUGGCUCUUACAUAGCUUCUUAUGCUUUAUGAUGUACAUUUAGCUCAGCUGAGGAGCAGGCAUAUAGCAGUGAAACUUGUCACUGUAGACCUAGUUUAUCAUCUCAGACUCUUCACAAAGGACAGCUUGGAAGUAGAGAAACAUUAGUGCAUUUGUUUACAGGUCGCAGACUGCUUUCUGCUCAGGUAUGUUUUACAGGAAUGACGGCACAAUUAACAGAAUUGUUUGCAGGAAAUGGAGCAAAGCAAACAGAAAAGAGUGGCAGGGUGUUAAUUGCAACCGGAUAAUUAAAGUGAAGCAUAGUCAAGGAACAGAUAUCCUCCCAACUUUCAGCAUGAAAAUGAUGAUGGGCAGCAUCUCUGGACGUUCAGCACUGUUUAGAUAACCCUGGGAAGCUGCAGCAGGGAGAACCUCAGUGACACACAAGUCUGUGUCUGAGAGCACACAUUAUCAGAUUUCGUUGUGACUCACAGAGGUAGUGGUUAAACUCCUCUUCUCCUGGCACGACCUCCCCACUUCAAGCAUGUUUUUUUAUGGAAGAAUAUAAAUUUGUGAACUCAUGAGUUUAUAUCCAGUCAGCAAGAUGGACCACUAAACUUGAGAACACUACAGAAAAUACAAUAGACAUGAAAGCCUGAAGAGCAUAAUGGGGAGAAGGAAAGUUUUAAAAUAAUCAGAGCAAAUUGAAAGCAAGUGGUCUCGCUUUCAUCACAGGAUAUUUGAAAAUCUAACAUUGGCUUUACCAGAGGAAGGAAUGAGCUCUUUUCAACUUCAGUUGGAUCACUUGCAAGUUUCAUGGUUGAUAUAGCUAUUUCCAGGACCUGAAGCCUUGCUUUACAGGUUUGUGUUUCAAGUCAUGGAGAUAAUUGGACAACUGCACCUGCACAGUAUGGAGCGUGCUGUGUAAGCAGAGGUCUGAACACUGUCUGCAGAGACAUCUAGAUACCAGGGUGUGUGUAAGAAAAACUGCUUAAUUAUGGACACAAUAACAAACACAUCUGCAGGGAAACACAGAAUUCACUGCAAGGAGGUGUCUCUGGGAUGUAAUCUACAUACAUUAAUUGCUAGGUUGGUGUUUUAACAUUUGCGCACCACCUCUUCAGCCGCCACAUUAGGAACCCCCUCGCAUUUCAUUCUUGCACACAUGUAAUGAUUUUACAAAAUUUGAAAGAAUGUACCAUGGAUGGAAACAAGACAUGUUCCUCAAGAAAUGUUUUAUUCAACAAAACUUGCCCAACUUGAGCAUUUUCCAGAUUAUUCCCAAACAUCAGAAGCUCAGUGUUUAAAGGGACAGUCCAGUACCUAAGGAAAUAAUCAGUGUAAUCAAAUGCAAUCAUUGCUGUAGCAACAACUUCUUCCAGAUCAGUGGAGAAAAUGCUUGUUUCAAACUUGGGUCUGUAACUUAGUUGUAAACUAAAAAUCUCGUAUGAGGACUGCAUUCUCUUGAAACAGCUCUUGAAAUUUGGAAAGUUUUUUAAAGAAUCUUUUGAAUUCCAAGGAUAAGGCCUCCAUCAACCACUCCUUAAGUCUUCUAGGAGUAUGAAGAAUGAAUCUCUUUCAUCCUCUGAGAGGCUUUAUCAUGUCUGCAUAUGAUGUUGCAUGUCUGCAGAUUGAGUGAAUCCUCACUUUGAUUUUCCUUCCACAUUCUGCAGUUCUCAAAAUGCCUCACUGGGACUGCAUGCAGGUUGCUACAACACUCAGUGUGCGUGCACACACUGUUGCUAAGAGCUCUGCUAUGUGUCACUUGCCAGCAUUCUGCAAGGAAGAAAUUAAGGUGUUCAUCAUAAAAUACAUGUUUGAGCUGGGACAUAACACCAGAACAACAAAAAGAAGACUUCUUUACAUCCAGCCCCCAGCUCAGUUGGUAGCAGACAUGUUUCACUUGAUCACUGAAGCCAGCAGUGACUGAGGUCCAUUUCUGAACAGCUGUGUCCUGCAUAAAAACCAUUUCUACUUUUCAAAAGGUUUCAAUAUUAGAUGCAAAAAAAAUGGGGAUGUUGAGCAAGACAAGACUCAUCACCUACAUGAAGUAAUGGAUAAUUCCAAACGUCUUCUGAGAGGGAUCUAAGCCUUUUGAAAUCAACUUCCAAACUGUUUUGCUGAGUCAUACCUAGAGUAACAGGGAAUUUUUCCUCUGAUUUCAGAAACUAUGGAUAAUUUUGCCAUAAAUUUAUUACAGAUAAUGUGUGGAAUUCCAUUUAACUCUGCUUUUGAAAACCAGCUGUUUUUUUUACUUUGGGGUUUUAAACAAAGUGGCUUUGUAAACUAAUUGUACCUUAUGUUGAAAAACCAGUCAUUGGCUGAGUUGUUAGUGAUAUAUAUUGCUUUAAAAUUUUCCCUUGAAAAACCUAUCAGCUCUUCUAAAUAUUUUUUUUCCUAUACAAGACUCUAUUAUUUUUGUCCAAAUUUUACAGUAUUGUCCACAAUAGCCAAUAUGCCGGAAGACCUCUUUGGAAUGAACCUGUAAGCAAUUUAUUUCAUUUUGAAAAUGGGAUGUAUAGAAGGAAACUGCAGAACAGAUGGAAGAAGUGCUAUUAUAGAUUUGCAAACAGUGCAAUCAAAGGCAUAGCUAGUUAGUGCCUGGCAAGAUUUUGGCUGUUUUUUUGUCAUUUGAGAGGUCUCUUGCUAAGGAUGGAAGAAGUGCUUUUAAAAGUAAGAUUAGCACCAACAUAUAUAAAUAAUUUUUUUGUUUUGUUCUUUAUUGUCCAUUACAUCCCACUGAAGUUGGGUGCAUUGGUUGGUAACAGCAACAUGUUUAAAUACAGACAACUCAGUGAAUGGAGCCAUUCAGCAGAGACUGUUUGCCACUACUGAGGAUGGAGCUCCAAGGAACUUUGGUCUGUUUUUUCUUUGCUUUGCUAUUCCUCUGGUUGCAAACUGGGCUCAACACUUAAAUUUCAGAGGCUGAUCUUCAGAGCCUUCCUUUCUGCACUCUGGAUGGUUGGAUUUAAAUGUGGGUAAUGCAAAUGUGUAUAUGCAUAUAUCCAUAGCUAUUUAUAUUUACAAUAAAGAUGGGGGAGCUGUAUUUUAUGCUAAGACAAGACUAGCAUGCUGAAAAGAACAUGAAAAUUACUGUAACUUCAUCUUAAAGUUGUUUUAAUCUCAUUUUUAAAAGUGCUGCUGAGCUUUCAAAACUGACUCUGCUCAAUUCCUAGUCAAUAACUGUCAUAUACAAGACAGUCUACUACUGAGACAUAUUUUUACUUUCUAGUUUCCAGGUUCUUUACAGCCACUUUAGAACAAUAAAUUCAGUUGUAUUA